rnacentral:rRNA from 1 species
UGGGGAAUACUGCACAAUGGGCGCAAGCCUGAUGCAGCCAUGCCGCGUGUGUGAAGAAGGCCUUCGGGUUGUAAAGCACUUUCAGCGAGGAGGAAGGUGGUGAGCUUAAUACGCUCAUCAAUUGACGUUACUCGCAGAAGAAGCACCGGCUAACUCCGUGCCAGCAGCCGCGGUAAUACGGAGGGUGCAAGCGUUAAUCGGAAUUACUGGGCGUAAAGCGCACGCAGGCGGUUUGUUAAGUCAGAUGUGAAAUCCCCGGGCUCAACCUGGGAACUGCAUUUGAAACUGGCAAGCUAGAGUCUCGUAGAGGGGGGUAGAAUUCCAGGUGUAGCGGUGAAAUGCGUAGAGAUCUGGAGGAAUACCGGUGGCGAAGGCGGCCCCCCUGGACGAAGACUGACGCUCAGGUGCGAAAGCGUGGGGCAGCAAACAGGAUUAGAUACCCUGGUAGUCCACGCUGUAAAACGAUGUCGAUUUGGAGGUUGUGCCCUUGAGGCGUGGCUUCCGGAGCUAACGCGUUAAAUCGACCGCCU